CAGUUACUUGAGAGUUUUGAGUGAUUUUAAAAAGUUGCUUUUCGGGAGCAGUCGACGUGUGUUGAUCGAAUCCUCGAUAAAAAAAAAUAGCACUGACAGUGACAGAGCGACCAAACAAGUGUUACCAAUGUACUUUACGGUUGAGUUCAUAUCAUUUGUUAUGAGGCAUCCAAGGCACCAGGGAGACUGUUAGCACCUACUACAUGUACAACUGUGUCCAUCUUUUACUCUUAGGCUCAUAACCCAAGAUCUUACAUGCCUUCUUUAAGGUUCAUACCUGGUGGCUGCUCAUCCCAAGAUAUCUUCCAACGCACCAAGUAGUUUGUUAGUGUCUACAAGUGUGUCCAAAUUAUACCCUUAAGGUUCAUACCUUGUGACUUCACUUCCCAAGAUAUCAUCCAAAGCACCAAGUAGUUCGUUAGUGUCUACAAGUGUGUCCAAUUCAUAUAGACCCUAAAGAUAGUCUUGGUAUAGUCCAACCUUACAGUCAAGAUGUCUAAACUAAUUGUACACAGACUGUUUGAUGGUGAGGUCUGACAUGAUCUGAUGAUGAGAUAUGAUCAUGGGGAGUGUGAAAUAAAGUGAGUGCAACAUUUGAUACUCAAUGGGACCAUGCAUAAGACUCCAUGGAGUAGGAUGGACAGCCUACAACCCUAAUGUAACUCAACGUCCCGAGUACAACUAUACAGACGCGACAAAGCUGGACAGCUACCCAAUAUGGGGACGCCAUGCCAUGUACCUCGGUGGCGGAUACAUCUUUGAUGUGGAUGUCAGCAGUAUAGAAGGGGUCAAUGCUUCCAUGAAGAGGAUGUAUGAAUAGGCUUGGAUUGACAGGUACACACGCGGUCUCUUCAUUGAAAUUUCCGUCUACAAUACUCAGACAAAUCUCUUCAGCUCAUCAACUUGAUCAAGGAGAUCUUACCAACUGGAGGUCCCAAUUUUGUUUUGAUUUUUCACACUCAUAACAACAGACAAUGUUCAGCAAUAGCAUUAUGUAGCAAUGUCACAGACACGCUUAUUGAUAAUUUUGGCAAGGGUGAUCUUCAUUGCAAAGAAAUGUAACUUUGAAUUUGAUAAAAAUGCUGCAAAUUACCCUUAUCAUUGAUCAGUCAAUCAUGCCACAGAGAACAGAACAAGGAGUACAAAUUAUUUGUUCUAAAAGCAGGUUUAAUUUUAUGUUUAAUGUAAAAUACAUGCCAACUUAAUUUAACAUCAUUUUAUGUAUGGGGGUGGUAAAUAACACCAGAAUAGUUCACAAAAGAAAGGUUAAUGCUGAAGUGGCUUUUCUGUUGGCAGAAAAAGUAUGCGUGGUGUAGGAUUAUGGCAUAGGCCGAGUUUCUAAAUUGUUGCACUGUCACAAUUAUUGCUUUUUGAUUAAAGGCACUGAUGGACACUGGGUAACUACUUAAAAUAGUUUUUAGCAUUAAAACUUACUAGUAUAAA